ACCUAUAUCACUUCAGAAUAAACUAACCAUUUGUACCAUACCAUUCACACAUUAUAAGUACCAAACUAUCAUAAUGUAACCAUCAUCAAAAUGGCACCAAACAACCAUCUUAUACAUACCAAAAUCAAUGUCUAAACAUUUAAACAAACAUCAAAUACAAGUCCAUUUAUACAUGCCAUUAUAAUCUUUGCUAAAACAUUAAGAACUACCGAUAUAAUUGCUGGAUAGUGUGAUAGAUCCCUGACAAACUUCCAAACCGAUCGAGCUUCCAAUAAUCUAAAAAGUAAAAGAAAAAUAACAGCAUAAGCAAUGAAUGGUUAGUAAGCUCAUAUAAAUUUUAAACAUAACAUUUCAUUUUAAUAAUGAACUUUAUAAGGUAAACAUAAACCUAUACCAAUGCCACAAGAUUUAUCAAACCAUAAUUAUCGACUCACAAAUGAGUAAGUCCAUCAACACUACAUAUAUUUAUCAUUCCUUACAUAGUAGGAUUGUAUAUGACAUUUUACACAAUCAUUAACCCUUUUCAUAAGACUUUGAAACCUUCCAUUUUCUUACUUUAGCUUAACAGACAUUAUCAACUCACAAAUUAGUGUAUUUAUCCACAACCUAGAUAAAUUCAUCCAUAACUUAAGUAAAUUUCUCACAUAUAAGUAAACCCUUUAACUUGUCAAUGCAUUUACAUUAUCACAUUACAUCUGAAUUAUGACCUUACCGUUUUAUUACAUUUUCUUACUCGUAUCAUUUGUAUAACACAAGACAUAAGCAUAAACAUAGACCAAUUACACAAGCUUGACACAAGCCUAUACAUCAUCACCAAUACACAAGUUAUUGCGUAUAUUCAUAAUUCACUCGAAAUAUCAUAAGGUAAGUCAUAUACAUGAAUCACAUCACUUCAAAUCAUCAAUUUCAUGAACAUUAACAUACUUUCUUUAAACAUUACCUUUUUUAUUCCUUUCACAAAUUGAAGAUAUAAGUAUUUUGAAUACUUACUGAUCCCUUCCUUUUGAUACCCGUUGAAUCCAAUGAAAUAAUAUCCAAUAAUGUAAAUAAUAUUUUCAGUGCAACUUACUUGAUACAAUACAUUGGCACGAAAACUGCUAAGCUCAAAGCCUAAUAUAACACACCGGCGCGAAGCCUGCUAGGCCCAAAGCCUGAUAUAAUAAUUCAAAAACGAAGCCUACUAGGCACAAAGCCUGAUAUAAUACACUAGCACGAAGCCUGCUAGGCACAAAGCCUGAUGUAGUACACCGGCACGAAGCGGCACAAAGCCUAAUUUAAUACACCGAUAAAUACAACUCAAUUUCAUUAUUAAUUUUCAACAACCAAAAUUCAGUAAUUAUAAUCACCAAGAUUAUUAGAAUAAAAUCAAUAUCAAGAAUUUAAUAUGACAUAUUAGAUGUAACAAGAAUUUACCUGGCUAAAUUGUAGAAAUAUCAAAGUAUAGGGGCUUUUUGAUAAUUUUCCAUUCCCUUCGAUUUUCCACUCGAUCUUGAUCUAAAUUAAUAAUUUCAUUCAAUUCAUUAAUUUAGAUGGUAAAAUAAUUUAUUUUAUGCAAUUUAGUCAUUUUUGAAAAUUUUACAAAAUUACCCCUAACAUUUUACUUUUAUUUAAUUUAGUCCUUGAGCCUAAAACUUGCAAAUUAACCAUUUUUAUCACAAUUGCAUGAUAUCCAAAUAUUUAUAGCUUCUAUUUCAGCCUAUUUUUGCAACAAUUUCACAUCAAAUCCUUGAUUUAUUACUAUUUCAACAAUGUAGUCCUUAAUCGGUAAAUUUGUCAAAAAUCACUUAAUAAAAUACUUAUGAAAAACCAACCAACACGUCAAAUUCAUCAUUUAACAUCUAAAAUCACAAAGAUUCAUCAAUGGCAAUAUUCAAAAUCUUUAACAGUUUCAAAAACAAAGGUAUGGGCUAGCUGGACCUAGUUGCAACGAUCUCAAAAACAUAAAAAUUAAAAUAAAAAAAAGGAAUCUCAAAAUCUCCCACAUGCAAGAUGCUAUGUUUGGUCGAUUCUCCAAGCUUAAUUUCCAUGGUUUUUUGGCAAAGUUUAAGAUAGUAUGAAGAAGAAAGACUUAAUCUUUACUUAAUUUUGUUUAAAAUUUGUUUUAAUUACAAAAUUGCCACUAUACUAAAUUUUUAUUCAAUUUUUCAUUAAAUUUAAUACCGACUACAGCCCACUAUCCAAAAUAGGGAUUAAUUUCCCUAUUGGUCCUCUAACAUUUACUACUCAGGCCAUUAAAUCAUCCUAGUGCUUAAAUUAAUAAUUUUUGCAUCUUUUACAAUUUAGUCCUUUUUUUUAAUUAGCUAUCUAAACAUUUAAAUUUCUCAAUGAAACUUUAAUACAACCUUAAUAACACUCCGUAAAUAUUUAAAAAAAUAUUUAUGGCUCUGUUUAUAAAAACGAGGUCCUGAUACCAUUUUUUAAAACCACUUGACCUUAGGGUCUUACGACUUGAACUUAAUUAAUCAUUCAUAUAACAUAAAUUAUCAUAUCAAAAAGCCUUUUAUAACUAUAUAUGACUCAUAAAUAUUAAAUAAUAAUAUUUACGAACUUACUCGUUAGAUUUGUGGCCUCGAAACCACUAUUUCUGACACCACUGAAAAACGGGUUGUUACAAGUCGUAUAGGUCGAGUUUUGAAUUAAUCGGAGGAUAAUCAAGGAAAAGGAAAAAUUGCAAAUUAGUCCUAUAAUAGCCCGUUUUUGGGUCAAAUCAAACCAGUAGUUUUGGGACUACAAAUCCGAAGUAGAAAUGUUUAUUUUAUUAUUUCUUUAAGGUUUACAGCAUGAUAGGAUAAUUGCGUGAAAAUUUUGUUGAGAAAUUUUAUCGAUUGAGUACUUAAUUUGACUAGAAGGACUAAAUUGCAAUAGGUGUAAAAUUUGAGUUCUAUAGGCUAAAGGUAGUAAAUUGUUAUGAAAUUCUAAAUUAGAAGUCCUUAAAUGGUAACUAGACCAUUAUAUAGGAUGGACAACAAUGGACAUGGAGUAGGUAAAAUUUUAAAGUUUAAGUGAGGCGUAAAUAGGUAAUUUGGUAAAUAAAGACAAAAUAACUAAAUAGAAGAUGUCAUCUUCUUCAAUUUAGUCCCUUAUAGCCAAAAUUUUGGGGAAAACCAUACCUAGGGUGUAACACCCCAAACCCGGCCUGGAAGUUUGGCUCGAACUUGGCUUGUCACAUUGAAGUGUUUUUCGAAAACCAUGUUUCCAUUAAAAACCCUUCUUAAUAAUUAAAAACUUAUACCCUUUUUAAACCUUGUUAGAAAACCUCAUCUGAAUAACAUUCUUAACAACUUUGUAAAAAUCUUGGUAGUUGCGGAAACUUACUUUAAAAACAAUUGCGGUUACGUGAUGUUUUGAAUAACAGUAGUUGCUUUGGAAAAUCGUGUUCUAAUACUAGCAAUUAUAAGAACAAUAAAUAAAAUUCCAAAUUUGAAAUCCAGAAAAUUACAACGGCUUUACUACAACCCACAUAAAAUAAUUUAAAGGUAAUAAUCAAAACUGUAACAUAAACAGUGUGUGUGGCUUCCUCCGAGCCCCUAGCAACCCCGAUCCAUCUAAGGCUAGAAAUUACCUGAAAGGUUAAUAAACGGGGUGAGUUUACGAAAACUCAGUGUGAAAUCCCCUACUAUAAAAAGGAACAGUCAGUCAUCUAAAAGAAUUAAAAGUCUGGCCCUAACCUUACUUACAAUUUCAAUACCAAUCGGGUCUUAGCCCAUCACAACAGACAGUACAAGAUGAACCUUAGCCCAUUACAGAAUAAGAAACAUUAUCAGAAUUGGAACCAAAAUGAGAAUCAAAAUCAGAAUCAGAAUCAAAAUCAAAAUUACGUGACAGAAUCAGAAUCAGAAUGUGAAUGCAAUCCCAACCCAAUCCAGCCGUAUACACCCCCGUACCAACCUUACACCAUGUGGGGAGACAACUCGACCCACCCAUCCGCUACACACCACAGAAUUUGCAGCAUGGUUGCCAGAACAGAUAUCGUGACAGAGUCACCAGAUACAGAUAUUGUGGCAGAGCCACCAGAAUCAGAUAAUGUGGCAAACCCACCUAACAGAAUACGUGGCACAAAGCCAUAGAUAACUGUAAUAACUUCGGCACAUAGCAAUCAGUGACGGUAAUAUAAUUGGCGCACAGCCUUCGGUAAAUAUGAUCGACACAGAGUCGUCAACUAAUAUGUUAGGCACAUAGCUGCUGGUAAAUACGUUUGGCACGAAGCCAUAGUCAAGAUGGCACAAAGCCAUAUUUAGGUUGGCACAGAGCCAUUAAUAACGGGUCUAUAAUCGGCACAAAGCCCACAACAACGGCACACAGCCUUCGGUAGCGUGAUCGGCACUUAGCCAUCGAUCGGUCAACAGAUAUUGUGACAGAGUCACCAAAUACAGAUAUUGUGGCAGAGCCACCAGAACAGAUAUUUGUGGCAUAGCCACCAGAACGCUUCCUCCGUACAAAAUCCCAACCCAUGCAACAUGUCAUGUAUGCAGAAUGUUAUGCCCAUAUUUGAAUCAAACAAUCACAGUCAAGUCAUUCAUAUCACCAACAUAUAUUCACAAUCAAAUCCGUCAAACACACAGUCCAAGUCAGUCACUUGCCCACAAGGGCAAAACAGUCAUUUAACACCCUAGGGGCAAAAUGGUAAUUUUACCCCACAAGGGUAUCUCGGUAAUUCUACCCUACAGGGGUAUUUUGGUAUUUCUACCCUACAAGGGUAUUUCGAUAAUUCUACCCUACAGGGGUAUUUUGGUAAUUCUAUCCUAUAAGGGUAUUUCUGUAAUUCUACCCUAUAGGGGUAUUUCGGAAAUUCUACCCUACAGGGGUAUUUCAGUAAUUUCUCAAUCAAGGGUAAAACGGUAAUUCUGUAAAUCGAGGGUAAAACGAUAAUUUUGUAAACUGAGGGUAAACCAGUAAUUUUGUAAAUCAAGGGUAAAACGGUAAUUUUACAAAUCGAGGGUAAAACGGUAAUUCUGUAAAUCGAGGGUAAAACAGUAAUUCUAUAAACUGAGGGUAAAAUGAUAAUUCUAUAAAUUGAGGGUAAAAUAGUAAUUCUGUAACCUGAGGGUAAAACGGUAAUUCUGUAAAUCGAGGGUAAAACGGUAAUUUUACAAAUCGAGGGUAAAACGGUAAUUUUAUAAAUCGAGGGUAAAAUAGUAAUUCUAUAAACUGAGGGUAAAACGGUAAUUUUGUAAAUCGAGGGUAAAACGGUAAUUUUGUAAACUGAGGGUAAAACGGUAAUUCUGUAAAUCGAGGGUAAAACGGUAAUUUUACAAAUCGAGGGUAAAACGAUAAUUCUAUAAAUCGAGGGUAAAAUAGUAAUUCUGUAAACUGAGGGUAAAACGGUAAUUCUGUAAAUCAAGGGUAAAACGGUAAUUCUGUAAACUGAGGGUAAAAUGGUAAUUCUGUAAAUCGAGGGUAAAAUAGUAAUUCUGUAAACUGAGGGUAAAACGGUAAUUCUGUAAAUCGAGGGUAAAAUAGUAAUUCUGUAAACUGAGGUAAAACGGUAAUUCUGUAAAUCGAGGGUAAAACGGUAAUUUUACAAAUCGAGGGCAUUUUAGUAAUUGGUAAACUAAAGUAUUCUAAACAUGGAUAACAAUACGAAUGGGCCUAAAGCCUAUUCUCGGCCCAAAUGGGCCCACACGCUCGUGUGGCUCUUUUAGCCCAAACCUAGCCACAGAUAUGCGAUUCACCUAGCCUAGUCGAAUAUUUACUACACAAUCAAACAACUUAUCCAAUUGGGCCCGUAGGCCCAUUGGGCCCACAUGGCCCCUUUCGGUCCAUUGCGGCCCGAAGUAGCCAUCCAACAACAAGAGUAGUGAUAAAUACACACCUGAUUGGAGACUGGAGUUAAUCCACGCUCCGAGCACUCUUAGCCGACGCCCAACCCAAACGAGCACGCCAUAAAGCGAAAGGGAUCAG
rnacentral:lncRNA from 1 species